GGAGGCCCGCAUGGGAUAUUUGCUAAAGAUUCAUCGCUGAUAGAUAGGCAUGCGUUCCAUUAGGCAGUUGGCGGGGUAACGGCCCACCAAACCGACGAUGGAUAGGGGUUCUGAGAGGAAGGUCCCCCACAUUGGUACUGAGACACGGACCAAA
rnacentral:rRNA from 1 species